rnacentral:lncRNA from 1 species
GCCCCUCCCCCUUCCCCUUGCAGCCACCCUCCACUACUUCCUCCUCCCUCUAGAUCUCCCCCCACGCAGCAGGGAUCGAGAAGAGGAGGAGCAAGAUGGAUUGAAGAGGAAGAGAGGAUCAAGGAGAUGUUCUACCCCCAUCUCUUGCAGAUUUUCUUGGGGAAACCAUAGGUAAGGAUAGGAUCCUUGUUCCUCCCUAUAAUUAUAUGCUUUUGGAGGUUGUGGAUCAUGUGGAUUGAAGGAUUAGAGGUUGGAUUAGAUGUGGGGUUAGGUUUUGAUCUCGAAUUUAAUUUCUGCAGAAUGGCAGAUUCGAUAGUUUCUGUUCAUGUCAGUUUUCCGUGGUCUUAGUGGCCUCAAAAAAAUAAAAAGUCUAUAUAUGAGUCGUAGAUAAUUUGUAGAUCUUUCCGUGGCCGCGAAGAACACCUCAAUCGGACAUCAGAACAGAAAGUUAUGACAGUUUGAUUAUAGCAGUUUUUCAGUCUUAUAAUUCUGUGCAGAAUCUGUUCUCUUAAGAGUUAGGCAAUUUUAUCAACAGAAUUAAACUGUGGGUUGGUAAAAGAAGUUGUAGAUAAUUUCAUAAGCUUUCCAGAUUGUUAAAGAGUGCAUUCAUAUGAUUUGUGAAACUCCAGUUAUGUUUGUUUUACUGUGGCUGUUCCUGUUUGCCUGACAAAAAUGAGUGGGUCUGUUCACUGGUGGGUUUCAUCUAGUAAAUGGCCAAAUUGGCUCUUCCAACUAUGGAGACUUUUGUAUAGGGAUAAAAGUUCUUACUUCCAACAGAAUUUCAUAAUUUUUGGUUCAGUAGUUUGGGAGAUAUCGAAUUUUAAAGUUAACCAUACUGCUGUCUAAAACAGAUUCAGUCAGUUAUCUUGUCAGAUGUUUUAGAACUUGUAGAUGGCAGAAUUUAAUUAUCCAUUGAAUACUGAAGUUGUAGAGUAUUUUGUGUAGAUACUCCUAGAGUAUUUGUUUGAUAUCACCGCUGUUUUAAUUUUAAAGAUACAAAAUUAACAAACAGCGCUGCUGCUGUAUGGCAUGUGGUUCAGGGUGAGAGUCUUUCCACUGGGUCUUGGUUUCAAGUGUAGGAGUGUUUUGUUGAUUGAUGGCAAAUGUUUGUGAAAUAUUUGUACUAAGUUUUAUGCCCGCUAGCACGUGGCUAUACUCCAGAUCAUGUCUAGUACAUUUCUUCUUCUUCGAUGAAGGCAAGUGAAUGUAGCGGUGGUUGCUUCCGUUCUAACCUGUUAUUUCUAUUGCCUACACUCUAAUAUUCAGAAGUAUUGGAUUCUUUUAUAAUUGGACUCUAUGGUGAUGCUUUACUUGCUUGCAUUAUACUGAUGCUCAAUCAUAUAUUGAUGAUGAUUGUGAUUCGAGUAUGAUUCAUGAGAUUAAUUCACACCCCUGAAGGUAAAUGAAGUAUUAUUUGAGGUUGGUAUUGUAUCUGAAGGUAAAUGAAGUAUUAUUUGAGGUUUGUAUUGUAUCUGAAGGAAGUGAAGGUUAUUGAUAAAUGCAACAUGCCAUAUACAUUGCAUGACUCAUUUGCAUCUGAAGUUUUGUCGUGACCUAUGGUCCGACCGUACCGGUACAAUUUAGCAUCGUACGUUGCCCGAGGAGGGGUACGAUGCGGCUUCAUACCCUUAGAGGUAUGAAGGCAGAGGACAUAUGCAUUGCAUUCAUAUGCAUUCAUUGAAGUGAUAUUUGCAGAUGAUGUGGUUUUAUACUCUCAGAGGUAUGAAGAUAGAGCACCUACACAUUGCAUUCCUAUGCAUACAUUGAAGUGAUAUUUGCAGGUAUUAUUGACGCACGGAAGUGUUAUAGAACCUAUUGUGGUUGUUCGAGAAAAUGAGAUGGUAUUGGUUAUAGUGGGACUACUGAGUUCCAUAUCUACAAGUAUUUCUGAUUUUAAUUGUGACUCUUUUAAAAUGUUGAUGAAUUCAAUUUGUGGUUUAAAGAUCUCGUCAAAAUUAUUCGCUUGUUGAGAUGUUUCAUCUCACUCUUGCAUUACUCAAUGCAGGUGCUUGUUGCUCAUCAAGGGAAGUGGGAAGUAGCAGCACAUCCACCUUCACUCUUAUAAUAACACUGAUUAGGCGCAGUCAUGAUUUAAUUAGAAGCUUCUUGUCAAAGGACGUUUGUUUCUAACUAGUUGUGCACACUGGAUAAUUUAGCUCAUGCCGUUAUGGUUGUCUUCCCAUUGCUAGCAGACUAUUAAUGUCUAUUAUGUUUUCUUAUCAUGAUAUCUAUUUAUACUUUGUUGCUUCCCCGUUUAUGCCAUUUUCAAGGGAGAUGCUGUGGAAAUUUUAUAUACGAAUGUUAGAUGUGUAGUUUAGUAGCAUUCUGGGGUGUUUGUGGAUCCCGGGGUGUUACAGUUGGUAUCAAAGCUUAGGCUUUAGAUUCUUGGC